GAUGAAGAACGUAGCGAAAUGCGAUAAGUAAUGUGAAUUGCAGAAUUCAGUGAAUCAUCGAAUCUUUGAACGCACCUUGCGCUCUUUGGUAUUCCGAAGAGCAUGCCUGUUUGAGUGUCAUGAAAAUAUCAACCUUGACUUGGGUUUUGUGCUCUAGUCUCGGCUUGGAAUUGGGUGCUUGCCGCUUUUACGAGCGGCUCACCUUAAAUGUAUUAGCUGGAUCUGUCUUUGAGACUUGGUUUGACUUGGCGUAAUAAGUAUUUCGCUAAGGACAUUCUUCGGUGUGGCCUCGUUUCUAGGACGCUUGUCCGCUUUCCAAUACAAGUUCCACCUCGUGGACAUGACUUUUUAUUAUCUGGCCUCAAAUCAGGUAGGACUACCCGCUGAACUUAAGCAUAUCAAUAAGCGGAGGA
rnacentral:misc_RNA from 1 species